rnacentral:rRNA from 1 species
UACAGAGGGGGCUAGCGUUGCUCGGAAUCACUGGGCGUAAAGCGCACGUAGGCGGCUUACUAAGUCAGGGGUGAAAUCCUGGAGCUCAACUCCAGAACUGCCUUUGAUACUGGUGAGCUUGAGUCCGGAAGAGGUGAGUGGAACUGCGAGUGUAGAGGUGAAAUUCGUAGAUAUUCGCAAGAACACCAGUGGCGAAGGCGGCUCACUGGCCCAUUACUGACGCUGAGGCACGAAAGCGUGGGGAGCAAACAGG